ACUGUGUGACCUUAUAUGAAGGCAUGCGUGUGCCUUACCACAUCAUGUCCAAUCAACUGAAUUUACCUCAGUUGGACUCCAAUUAAGCUGCAGAAACAUCUCAAGGAUGAUUUGUGGAAACAGGAUGCACUUGAGCUCAAUUCUGAACUUCAUGGUAAAGGCUGUGAAUACUUAUAUAUGGGUGAUUUCUUAAUUUUUUAUUUGGAAUAAAUUUGCAUGAAUCACGAAAAAAAUUUUUUCACA